rnacentral:rRNA from 1 species
AAACAGUCGGUGCGAAGUCGUAACAUGGUAGUUGACAGUGAACUUGUAGCUGAACCAAAAA